CAGGAUCCCAGGGUACCAACCAGC
rnacentral:miRNA from 1 species